rnacentral:rRNA from 1 species
AUGAACGCUAGCGGCAGGCUUAACACAUGCAAGUCGAGGGGUAUAGGGAGCUUGCUUCCUAGAGACCGGCGCACGGGUGCGUAACGCGUAUGCAAUCUACCUUUUGCAGAGGGAUAGCCCAGAGAAAUUUGGAUUAAUACCUCAUAGUAUGUGAGAAUGGCAUCAUUUUCACAUUAAAGUCACAACGGCAAAAGAUGAGCAUGCGUCCCAUUAGCUUGUUGGUAAGGUAACGGCUUACCAAGGCAACGAUGGGUAGGGGUCCUGAGAGGGAGAUCCCCCACACUGGUACUGAGACACGGACCAGACUCCUACGGGAGGCAGCAGUGAGGAAUAUUGGACAAUGGGCGCAAGCCUGAUCCAGCCAUGCCGCGUGCAGGAUGACGGUCCUAUGGAUUGUAAACUGCUUUUGUACAGGAAGAAACACUGGUUCGUGAACCAGCUUGACGGUACUGUAAGAAUAAGGAUCGGCUAACUCCGUG